rnacentral:tRNA from 1 species
GGGAUGUAGCUCAGCAGUAGAGCAUUUUUCUUGUGCAUGUAAAGCACUGGGUUCAAAUCCAGUACAUCUUA